GUCUACGGCCAUAUCACGUUGAACGCAACCGGUUCUCGUCCGACCACCGCAGUUAAGCAACGUCGAGCCCGGCCAGUACUUGGAUGGGUGACCGCCUGGGAAUAUCGGGUGCCGUAGGCA